UGAUGUGCUUUUUUUAUUUUGUAUGGGUGAGAAAGAGAUGUUCAUGUGUUUGUGUAGUUUAUUUUGUAUUGUUACCAUAUGGAUGCAAAUAUGAGGUUAUGGCAUUGGAAAUGCGAGGGUGUGUUGAUCAGCAUAACGAAUUAAUGCUUCUUCCUUCUUUAUUUUUGCUUUUUAUUUUUGGGCUAUGAGAGUGAGUGAGAGCUAUUAGGAAAAUCAACAUAUGCGGCGCUCUAGCUCCUUUU
rnacentral:lncRNA from 1 species